UACGCGUAUUAGGCCCUUCAUUAAGCCUCGGUAACAUGCUUGCAUUUAUAUGCGGGCGAACUUUUUGAGUAAUAUUUUUGCGCUGUUAUCAACCGUUUACUGACAACUGGCAUUUCGCAACGUUCUCUGGUUUCACCCUUUACGCCGAUGACAGAACACCUUAAAAAACCUCUCAUAAAUACGGCAAUACCAAGCUACUUGGAAACACUUGCCAACCGAUGCAGCAGUGACGAGUAAUCAUUAAUGCAGAGAAAAGCAGGGCAAUAUUCAUUUUAAAUGUAUGCACUCCCUCCCGACGAUGAUCCUGUGGGGCUUUUUCAGAUCAAAUACUUGGGCAUCAUAAUUGAUAACCGAGGAACUUGGCAGCAACCACGCACUUGACCGCGGCUGUGUGCAAAAGGAUAAUUUCUCAUUGAGAAUUGCACUUCUGCGACUUAUGACCGGCGAAUUGUAUUUUGUAUGCAAUAACACUUUGUAGGACGGCCUGAUUUGUAGGCAUUCAAACCACUAGCUGUUCGAAAAAUUGCACACGAAC